GGGGUUGUGGCUCAGUGGUAGAGUGCUUGCCUUGCAUGUGUGAGGCACUGGGUUCAAUUCUCAGCACCA
rnacentral:tRNA from 1 species